AACGCACAUUGCGCCCUCUGGUAUUCCGGGGGGCAUGCCUGUUCGAGCGUCAUUACAACCCUCAAGCUCUGCUUGGUAUUGGGCGUCACCACUCGUGGUGUGCCUUAAAAUCAGUGGCGGUGCCAUUCGGCUUCAAGCGUAGUAAUUUUUCUCGCUUCUGGAGUUCGGGUGUGUGCUUGCCAGCAACCCCCAAUUUUUUUUAAGGUUGACCUCGGAUCAGGUAGGGAUACCCGCUGAACUUAA
rnacentral:misc_RNA from 1 species